UCCGGUUUGGCACCGGCAGUCUCCCUAGAGUUCCCGGCAUCACCCGCUGGCAACUAAGGACAGGGGUUGCGCUCGUUGCGCCACUUAAGGCAACACCUCACGGCACGAGCUGACGACAGCCAUGCACCACCUGUGCAGGCUCCGUAGAGCGCCGGCUUUCACCGGCUUUACCCUGCAUGUCAAGCCCAGGUAAGGUUCUUCGCGUCGCAUCGAAUUGAACCACAUGCUCCGCUGCUUGUGCGGGUCCCCGUCAAUUCCUUUGAGUUUUAGCCUUGCGGCCGUACUCCCCAGGCGGGGUGCUUAACGCGUUAGCUGCGGUACUGGGGGGGUCAAUACCCCCAACACCUAGCGCUCAUCGUUUACGGCGUGGACUAC
rnacentral:misc_RNA from 1 species